rnacentral:rRNA from 1 species
UCCGUGAUCUGCGGACCUGACUGCUAUCGGAUGAUACUAAGCAUGCGAGUCUUUGUAGUAAUACAAGGCAGACGGCUCAGUAACACGUAGUCAAUCUACCCUAUGGACAGGGAUAACCUCGGGAAACUGAGAAUAAUACCUGAUAGAUCAUUAUGCCUGGAAUGGUUUAUGGUCGAAAUGAUUUAUCGCCGUAGGAUGGGACUGCGGUCUAUCAGCUUGUUGGUGAGGUAAUGGCCCACCAAGGCUAUAACAGAUACGGGCUCUGAGAGGAGAAGCCCGGAGAUGGGUACUGAGACACGGACCCAGGCCCUAUGGGGCGCAGCAGGCGAGAAAACUUUGCAAUGUGCGAAAGCACGACAAGGUUAAUCCGAGUGUUUUCUGCUAAAGAAAUCUUUUGUCAGUCCUAAAAACACUGAUGAAUAAGGGGUGGGCAAGUUCUGGUGUCAGCCGCCGCGGUAAAACCAGCACCUCAAGUGGUCAGGAGGAUUAUUGGGCCUAAAGCAUCCGUAGCCGGCUCUGUAAGUUUUCGGUUAAAUCUAUACGCUCAACGUAUAGGCUGCCGGGAAUACUGCAAAGCUAGGGAGUGGGAGAGGUAGACGGUACUCGGUAGGAAGGGGUAAAAUCCUUUGAUCUAUUGAUGACCACCUGUGGCGAAGGCGGUCUACUAGAACACGUCCGACGGUGAGGGAUGAAAGCUGGGGGAGCAAACCGGAUUAGAUACCCGGGUAGUCCCAGCUGUAAACUAUGCAAACUCAGUGAUGCACUGGCUUGUGGCCAGUGCAGUGCCGCAGGGAAGCCGUUAAGUUUGCCGCCUGGGAAGUACGUACGCAAGUAUGAAACUUAAAGGAAUUGGCGGGGGAGCACCACAAGGGGUGAAGCCUGCGGUUCAAUUGGAGUCAACGCCGGGA